GAGUUUUUAACUCAAGUGGCGGACGGGUGAGUAACACGUAAGAUUUUGCCUUUAGGAGGGGGAUAACAACUGGAAACGGUUGCUAAUACCCCAUAUGCUUUCGAGUGAAAUGGAUUUCCGCCUAAAGAGAAGCUUGCGGCUGAUUAGCUUGUUGGUGAGGUAAUGGCUCACCAAGGCGACGAUCAGUAUCUGGUUUGAGAGGACGAUCAGACACACUGGAACUGAGACACGGUCCAGACUCCUACGGGAGGCAGCAGUAGGGAAUUUUCCGCAAUGGGCGAAAGCCUGACGGAGCAAUACCGCGUGAGGGAUGACUGCCUAUGGGUUGUAAACCUCUUUUUUCAGGGAGGAGCACAAUGACGUGUACCUGAAGAAUAAGCAUCGGCUAACUCCGUGCCAGCAGCCGCGGUAAGACGGAGGAUGCAAGUGUUAUCCGGAAUCACUGGGCGUAAAGCGUCUGUAGGUGGUUUAAUAAGUCAACUGUUAAAUCUUGAGGCUUA
rnacentral:rRNA from 1 species